UGUUUUUGUUGAAUGUUAAAGGAUUGUACUUCACCUCCUAAAAAGAAGUCCAAGUCUAAUGUUUCUAAAGAGAGGGAUGGUAGCUCCAAGAAAAAGACAACGGUAUUAGCGGCCCAAAAGAAGACAACAGACUUAGCAUCCAAGGAAUUUUCGCAUCCAAAGAAGUCGAAUUCUAAGCCUAAGUCCAACUUAGAGGUCGUGGGUAGUUGUGAUCGUAAAACACAAGAAUCAACCACCAAAAGCAAGAAAGCGGGACUUGUACACGAUGCAAUUCAAGGUCUUGGCCCGUCAUGCAAAUACUUGCAGUUUAUCAUGACUUCGGCGCCUGAUGAUAUAUAUGAUAUUACUACCAUCCCAUAGGUGGCCUCAGUUUGGCACUCGGAUUUUGAUCAAGAAACAUACAUAACUGCGUCUGAUAUAGGAGAGUUCCUUCGCGGGGCGUGCUUAAACAUUUCAGCGAUCCAAGUCUACAUAUUGUGUUUAUUGCACGAUCAUGCCAAAUCAUUUGAAAUGUCUCGGAUUUCGUUCAUUUGUCCCGAGAUUAUGUCAAGCACUAGAAUCAAGGCCGACCCUGGAGCGCCAACAAUGUAUUUGAAAAACAUUUUCCAAGCUGAAAUUGAAAAGGAGAAGAUGGGUAAUCCUAACCUAACUAAUUGGUUUUUAAUCCCAUAUAAUCAAGAAAAUCAUUGGAAUUUAUACGUGAUGGACCUACGUAGAGGUUAUGUAUAUAUUUUCGAUUCUGCUAGAGAUCCACGUCGAACAGAUUAUGCAUGGGGAAUCUUGAGUUUG